rnacentral:rRNA from 1 species
CACGUAGGGCGCAAGCGUUGUCCGGCAUUAUUGGGCGUAAAGAGCUCGUAGGCGGUCUGUUGCGUCCGCUGUGAAAACCCGGGGCUUAACCCUGGGCUGGCAGUGGAUACGGACAGACUAGAGGUAGGUAGGGGAGAAUGGAAUUCCCGGUGUAGCGGUGAAAUGCGCAGAUAUCGGGAGGAACACCGGUGGCGAAGGCGGUUCUCUGGGCCUUACCUGACGCUGAGGAGCGAAAGCGUGGGGAGCGAACAGG